UUGCCUCUUGGACUGGGACAACUGUUGGAAACGACAGCUAAUACCGGAUAUUAUGAGAUUCUCGCAUGAGAAACUUAUGAAAGCUAUAUGCGCCAAGAGAGAGCCUUGCGUUCCAUUAGCUAGUUGGUGGGGUAACGGCCCACCAAGGCGACGAUGGAUAGCCGGCCUGAGAGGGUGAACGGCCACAAGGGGACUGAGACACGGCCCUUACUCCUACGGGAGGCAGCAGUGGGGAAUAUUGGACAAUGGGCCACAAGCCUGAUCCAGCAAUUCUGUGUGCACGAUGAAGGUCUUCGGAUUGUAAAGUGCUUUCAGUUGGGAAGAAGAAAGUGACGGUACCAACAGAAGAAGCGACGGCUAAAUACGUGCCAGCAGCCGCGGUAAUACGUAUGUCGCAAGCGUUAUCCGGAUUUAUUGGGCGUAAAGCGCGUCUAGGCGGAAAAAUAAGUCUGAUGUUAAAAUGCGGGGCUCAACUCCGUAUUGCGUUGGAAACUGUUUUUCUAGAGUACUGGAGAGGUGGGCGGAACUACAAGUGUAGAGGUGAAAUUCGUAGAUAUUUGUAGGAAUGCCGAUGGAGAAGUCAGCUCACUGGACAGAUACUGACGCUGAAGCGCGAAAGCGUG
rnacentral:rRNA from 1 species